ACAGCUCAAAUUUGAAAUCUGGGCCUUUCAGGCCUCGAAUUGUAAUUUGUAGAGGAUGCCUCGGGGUCGGUGCCGGCCUAAGUCCCUUGGAACAGGGCGUCACAGAGGGUGAGAAUCCCGUACGUGGCCGACGGCCGUCCCCGUGUGAGGCUCCUUCGACGAGUCGAGUUGUUUGGGAAUGCAGCUCUAAAUGGGAGGUAAAUUUCUUCUAAAGCUAAAUACCGGCCAGAGACCGAUA
rnacentral:rRNA from 1 species